GUUUCAAGUGAUGAUGGAUAAACUGCAACAAUAUGACAGAAGUUACACUUCCUUGAUUCGUAGUUCUUUAUCUGAUGAUU